GUCCGUGCAAGAAAAGCAGCUUCUGGGAGACGUCCAGUUUUAAUCAGGAGCUCCAAACACGAGUCAAGCCUAACAGAUUUUAAAACAGAAUUUUUAUCAGUUCUCUUUCAAGUCAGACUUUUGCAUUGUAGCUGUUUAGUCUAUGACAUUAGUAAACUAAAAGUGCCUAAUUUUAAAAAGUAGGCAUCGUAAAAUAGUUUUUCUGAAAGGGUACAUGCUACUGUCUUUAUCCUUAUGCUAGCUGUACUUAACCAUUUGGAAAUCUGAUGUUCUCUGUGUUUCAGAAAGCCCAAUGAGAACCAUCUGCAUUUCUCACUACUUACUUUCCCUGCAGGAAGUAGCUCAUAAAUGCAACGUUGUUCUUGCCAUCUUUUUCUGCUCCUUCAGCUAAUUUAUUCACCAUGUUAGCAUUUCCUGAGGCUGUAGCCAGUAGAAGUAGGCCUCCAUAGUCUUGUGCAUGGUGGAGACACUCCUGGGCUAGGCCAAACUGGCAUUUACUAAUGGCAAGUUCAGCAAGUUGCUUCCAUUUCUGUUCUGACUCUGCUUCUACUGCAAGCUGAUAAGCAAUUUUUAAUUCUCCCAGCUGAAGAGCAAGUUCAAAACGAUGCUCUGGAUCUGUAGAUACUGCAAGAGCUUGCUGUUUGAAGCCCUGUUUUUCAAGAAAAUGCGCAACUCUGGUUCUCUGUUCUUUUGGAAUUGUGGGAAGAACUUUGUCAGCCAUACCGAAGUCUCUUCUCAUCACAGCAGUUUGAUAUUCAAGCACUGAGACCAGCAAAGAGUAGCUAACAAUGUUUAGCUCUUUAUCACCCAAAUAAAGUCGGUUGUCCUUAGGAAUAUACCCCAAAAGGUACAUCGUCCUGAAACAAAACAAAGGCUAUUCAGCUCGGAUAGGUCCACUAGGAGGUACUACAUAAAAAAAUCCAACGGUAGCAAGAAUGUUUGCUUCAACUUUUACUCUGUACCCAUGCUUUGAUGUAAUGCUAUUUAUUCUAUGCAAGAUUACGUUAAUUGCCUGAGAACAUUAGCAUGAUAAAGUAACCAAAAGUAAUACAGCAGGACAAGUGGGGGAUUACCUUGUCCUAACUUCUACUGAAAAAAUGUUUAAGGCUUUCUUACAAUCGAAUGCAGCAACUUACCUGUCUAAAUGGGCAAUUGUGACAAUUUCUCCUCCAACGUAGUAGUUGAGUCUGUUCACAGAACUGGUGUAAAUAAAGCAGUCACCAACCCACAAACCUGUUUUCACAAUCUCCUGAAUCUCACCAAGAACCUCAAAUGCAUCUUCAAUUCCAUCUUCAGUGACUCCUUCAUGUGUUUCUUGGGCAGAUGAAACUUUUUCUGAUAGAUAUUUCAGAAUGAAGAAUGACUCUUCUGUAGCAAUGCAGACAAGCUCACCCGAGUCAGACCAGAAAAUGUGUUUGGGCUGAAUUUCAAUUCUGCGGAUCAGUUCCGUGUUUUCCCAAUCAUAGAAUGCCAAACCAUUAACAGACCUAACUCCCAGCAGGAAGCCACCAUAGAUGCCUUCUGCUCCAAAAUCAGGUUUGAACGAUUUCUUCUCCUUGAAGUUUUUAAAUAUCUUUACAACACUGUUGCUCUCUCUGAUUGCAUAUUCUGAGGAAUCAUGUGCCCAUACGAACUCCUGUGCAGAACCAAAACUCUUGUUUCUCAAAGCCAUCGCGGUGUAAAUGAUGUACUCUCCAUCACCACAGACUACAACAAACCGUCCAUUAGGGUUGUGCUGAAUUGUUUGAGGAUAUAUUUCACAGCUCCCCAUAUCCUUCACAGCCAGUGGCAGUCUUUCUCCAUCUUUAAUUUCAGCAUCUCCCAUAGCUUUCAAGUUGGCCUGCUGGACUUCUGAAUGUUUAGCCCAAAUAAUUUUUCCAUUUGCAUCCAUGGACAUGGCUGGUUCUUCACGACCAAGCUUAACAAUGAUGCUGCCUUCAUCAUAGCCCAAAGCCACGUUAUUGGAUCCUCUUAAACUGGCCACACACCACACCCUCUCCAUGCCAUAGUUCAGCGUACUUUCCAGGCGGUAGGUGCUUGAAUGCCAAAUGCGCACAGUUCCAUCUUCUGAGCCUGUGAUUAUGAUAGGCAAUUCAGGAUGGAAGCUGACACAAGACACGUUCUGAGCAUGUCCUUCCAGUGUUUGUACACACGUUUUAUUCUGGUAGUCCCAGAUCUUUACCAACCGGUCAUCUGCACCUGAAAUGAGAUACGGCUUGUCUCCUCCGCUGUAGUAGUCAAUGCAGUUCACCCCUUUCUCAUGGCCUUCCAGAGUAAAGUUGGGUGAAGAGGAGCCGAGCUGCCACACCUUGAUUGUCCUGUCCAAAGAGGCACUGGCAAACUGAUUAUUAUCUUUUGGGUUUAUGACGAUCUGCAUGACAUAAUGGGUAUGUCCUUCAAACACUUGAGAACAGGACCAUUUUUUAUCCCAGUCCCAGAGUUUAAUAAGCAUGUCAUCGCUGCUUGUCAGUAUGAAAGGCUGUGUGGGAUGUACAGCAAUACAACGAAUGUAAUCUGAAUGUGCUUCAAACAUGUGCACUCUUUCCAGGGUGUUGUAAUUAAAAACUCUAAUUUGCAUGUCAUCAGCUCCUGUAACAACCCAGUUCUUCCUCGCCACAAAUUUGGCAGCUCUCACUGGCAGGUCACACACUUCAAAAGUCUUCACCAAAGUCUGUGUUUCAUGGUUCCAAACGCAGACACUGCCAUUGUAGAGACUUGCCAGCAUCCAUGGCUCUGUGGGGUGCAGGUCCACACUUUUCACCCGGUCAGACCGGGCUGUUAGCUUUCGCUUGAUAUCGAGUCGGAGAGGCAUGGCGCGGCGUCACCCCGCAGGAGCCCCGCGGCUGAGGUGUCCC
rnacentral:lncRNA from 1 species